UGAACGCUGGCGGCGCGCCUAAUACAUGCAAGUCGCGCGAACAGACGAGGAGCUUGCUCCUCUGACGUUAGCGGCGGACGGGUGAGUAACACGUGGAUAACCUACCUAUAAGACUGGGAUAACUUCGGGAAACCGGAGCUAAUACCGGAUAAUAUAUUGAACCGCAUGGUUCAAUAGUGAAAGACGGUUUUGCUGUCACUUAUAGAUGGAUCCGCGCCGCAUUAGCUAGUUGGUAAGGUAACGGCUUACCAAGGCAACGAUGCGUAGCCGACCUGAGAGGGUGAUCGGCCACACUGGAACUGAGACACGGUCCAGACUCCUACGGGAGGCAGCAGUAGGGAAUCUUCCGCAAUGGGCGAAAGCCUGACGGAGCAACGCCGCGUGAGUGAUGAAGGUCUUCGGAUCGUAAAACUCUGUUAUUAGGGAAGAACAAAUGUGUAAGUAACUAUGCACGUCUUGACGGUACCUAAUCAGAAAGCCACGGCUAACUACGUG
rnacentral:rRNA from 1 species